GAGGAAAAGAAACCAACAGGGAUUGCCUUAGUAACGGCGAGUGAAGCGGCAACAGCUCAAAUUUGAAAUCUGGCUCCCUUGGGGGCCCGAGUUGUAAUUUGUAGAGGAUGCUUCGGCGUGGGCCCCGGUCUAAGUUCCUUGGAACAGGACGUCACAGAGGGUGAGAAUCCCGUACGUGGCCGUGGGUGCUCGCCAUGUGAAGCUCCUUCGACGAGUCGAGUUGUUUGGGAAUGCAGCUCUAAAUGGGAGGUAAAUUUCUUCUAAAGCUAAAUACUGGCCAGAGACCGAUAGCGCACAAGUAGAGUGAUCGAAAGAUGAAAAGCACUUUGGAAAGAGAGUCAAAAAGUACGUGAAAUUGUUGAAAGGGAAGCGCUUGCAACCAGACCUGCCUGCGGUUGCUCAUCCGGGCUCUUGCCCGGUGCACUCUUCCGCAGUCAGGCCAGCAUCAGCUCUGGCGGUCGGAUAAAGGCGGCGGGAAUGUGGCUCCCCUCGGGGAGUGUUAUAGCCCGCCGUGCAAUGCGGCCAGCCGGGACUGAGGUCCGCGCUUCGGCUAGGAUGCUGGCGUAAUGGUUGUAAGCGGCCCGUCUUGAAACACGGACCAAGGAGUCUAACAUCUGUGCGAGUGUUUGGGUGUCAAGCCCAGGCGCGUAAUGAAAGUGAACGGAGGCGGGAACCUUCGGGUGCACCGUCGACCGAUCCUGAUGUCUUCGGAUGGAUUUGAGUAAGAGCAUAGCUGUUGGGACCCGAAAGAUGGUGAACUAUGCCUGAAUAGGGUGAAGCCAGAGGAAACUCUGGUGGAGGCUCGCAGCGGUUCUGACGUGCAAAUCGAUCGUCAAAUUUGGGCAUAGGGGCGAAAGACU
rnacentral:rRNA from 1 species